ensembl:lncRNA
UUUUUUUUUUUUUCUUUUCUUGAGAAAGUGAAUAAUGUCAUCGUUGAUUUAAUUAGCAAAUUCUAGAUGUGCUGACAAAGGAGAUUUUCUUGGGAGAUGCACUGGGUUGUGUCAAUGCUCUGAAUGAAUAGGCAGAGCCGAGUUCCUGGUAAUAACAGAUGAACAACACAACUCGCCAAACCUCAAACAGUGCAUAAAUCAAUUUGCUGGGAAUUAACCACUCGCUUCAAAAUUAGGGGUUACUUGACAGGGUUUCAGUGAUUAGGUUGUCAGGGACCUGUAUUUCUAGCUGGGAUUUAUCUAUCAUUGAUAUGAGCAUAUCUCCCCCUGAGCUGCAGACUGACUUGCAUCGCCAGCUCGCAGGCCGAGCUCAGAGGGUGGGGGCCCUGCCUUCUGGGGAGCAGAUGGCCCUCUGGAGGUCACCCGGGCAGGGAGGAGAGGGAAGAUGUGCUGGCUCUUCACACUCCUCCUAAUGCCUCUCAUAUUAGCAGGAGAAUUGUGAAUGAGGGAAUGUGUCUUGGAAUCCUUCUGACAUCACAUGACCCCUUUGAUGGCAUAAAGAGCUUAACAAUUUGUUAAAUGAGAUGCCUAAAAGUGUACAAUUGCAGAGAAAUUAGUGAAAAGCAAUAAGGCACCGCGAGGUCACUGAACUCAGGGAGUUGGAUCCCUGGUGUCGUCAGGAUGCAGUGCUCUGGGCCUUCUGACUUCAAGCUGGGGCUAACUGCCCCCCCGAGGGCCUCACCAAGGGGCCUUCCACUCUGGGGCAGGCUGAAGAGGAAAAGGCAGUGAUGAUCCACCUCCUCAGGCCAGACUGAGCAUGAAUUGGGGAAGGGGCAUGCCAUCGGGCCAGGUUUCUUAUCUGACACAUUUCCUUUAUUGGCCAGCCCUUCACUGACCAUUAUUCAGCACACUCCUGCCCACUUGGAAGUGUACACUCCCACUUGACAGCUCCUUGCUCUGUAAGAACAGUCCAGGAGUUCUAUUAAGUUUAACCCGUAAGGACCCCAGUUUAUUAGGCUGGGCCCAAAGACAUUAACCCUGUAACACUGUCAGACAACAUGGAAAUACGAGUCCCUGGUUCCAUCACCACAAUUUGAUAGCAACAAUGCCCAAAUCAUUAGCCACAUUCCCAGAAAUCUCUUACCAUCCCUUCUCUUUUCCUCUAUUUCUUUUCCCUAAUUACUUUUUUCUUUCAUUCUUUCCCAAGUCAGCAAAGCUUAGCUUGGGCUCCCUCUUCUUGUUUGGGAUUUCUGGAAGGGGGUUUGCUUGCUCUAUCCUUGUGAUUCAUCCCAUCCAUCCUCUUCCCACACUCACCCCUGGCGCUCUUGGAAAGCAAUGAUGUACCUUUCUCUUCAUUUAGGUGACCUUAAGCACCUCAAAAUCACAGCAUCUCCAAGCAUCCCUACCCAGUUCUUUGGUGCCCAAUACAAGAGUGUCAAGGUCAACUUAAAUAGAAUGGGCUUGCUUUACUGGGAGGUAAAAUAAAAUGUUCCUCUUUCAAUUACUAGAAAAUGCCAUUGGAUUCAACGGUAGCAGUUUUGGUGUUUCCUUCCUGUAAUGGCUCUCCUGCUAAUCAUGUUUCUUUCUCAUAUCUCUUCCUGUUCACUCACAGCCUAUUAACUGGUCAUUAAGUCCUCCUCAAUUUCAUUGAGUCCCCAACUUCCUUAUUUUGGUGUCUUCACAAGGCAAAUGUUUACAGGAUUGUUAUUUUUCUUCUUCACUUAAAAAAUGAAACUGACCCACUGAUUUCUGUGAGUCUUUCUGCCACCUUUCCUAAAGUCCACUUUACCUUAGCCAUGUCUAUGGUCUACUAGGGCAAAUAUUUAAAAACCUCUAAGCUACUUCAAAACUAAACCCAACUUUAUUGAUGUAUAAUUUACAUUCCAUCAAAUAGUUACCAGUUUUCACUGUACAACCCAAUGAAUUAUAGGAAAUUUACGUAAUUGUGCAACCAUCACCAUAAUCUAACUUUAGAACAUUUCCAUCAAUCCCC